GGUUCCAUAGUGUACCUUUAGCACGUCUACUUUACACGCAGAAGGUCCUGGGUUCACACCCCAGUGAAACCA
rnacentral:tRNA from 1 species